GGGCCCGCACAAGCGGUGGAGCAUGUGGUUUAAUUCGAUGAUACGCGAGGAACCUUACCAGGGCUUAAAUGCAGAGCGACAGAGGUGGAAACACCUCCUUCUUCGGACGGUCUGCAAGGUGCUGCAUGGUUGUCGUCAGCUCGUGCUGUGAAGUGUCGGGUUAAGUCCCAUAACGAGCGCAACCCCUAUUUCUAGUUGCCAGCGGUUCGGCCGGGGACUCUAGAGAAACUGCCAGCGUAAGCUGUGAGGAAGGUGGGGAUGACGUCAAAUCAUCACGGCCCUUACGUCCUGGGCCACACACGUGCUACAAUGGUAAGGACAGAGAGUUGCCAACCCGCGAGGGUGAGCUAAUCUUCAAACUCCAUCUCAGUUCGGAUCGAAGUCUGCAACUCGACUUCGUGAAGUUGGAAUCGCUAG
rnacentral:rRNA from 1 species